ACCAUUACAAUUACUACAACGGGGCUCAGCCUUACAGUCAUCUGCAGAGUGGUCAUUGAUGCCACAUUUUGCACAUGUUAGCCGCCCUCGGCAGCUCUGAGAAGCAUGACCAAACCUCUGGCAUUUAAAACAUCGUCGAGGGUUUGGGAUGUAUGGUCGUACUCUGAGUUUGGUAUAUCCAGGUUCUAAUAUCUCUGGUAGUGUGCUAGAGCCAAAAGUAAUAAUCAGGUGCUUAGUUGGCAGUUCCUUGUUGUCACGUCUAAUUUUUAUUCUUUGUACACUUAUUACGUUUUCAUCCUUCCAUCCUUCCAGGAGUUCUUCAUCGGUCAAGUCCAUCAAGUCCAUGUCAGAGAUUACGCCUUUGGCUGUAUUCAUGGUUCGGUGUGCUGUCACACUGACAGGGAUGUCUUCAAGUUGUACCAGGACUGCAGCCAUCUGGUUGUUUAUGGUGAGACGGUCGAAUCGCUGCAGCGGCAUAACGAAUGGCUGCAACAAAAUGCAGCAAUUGCUGUUAACGAUGACGUGAGGCCACGCCUUCUGGCCACUGCCCAGGAGCGACAUGAACGCCUUCGCAGCCUCACGAUAUCAGAGGCAUUGAUGCUGUAUCCAUUUUUGGCAUCGGAGGCUUCGUUACUUUUGGAAUUCAGCAUUGUGUUCAAGAAGAAUGCUGGAGAGUGCUUCGCCCAAGGAUGUGAGCAGCUAUGCGACAUUGUCCUGAAGCAUGCUGAUGACAGCGAAGUUGCCGCAUUCUCCCAUGUUGCAGCAGAAAACCCCAUACUCGCGACAUUGGAGUUCCUGGCAUCUCGCUGCAAAGAAUCUUUAAGUGUAAUUUUGUCAGCG